GAUUCACGGCCAAACCAACACACUGCCGGCUUUGAAGCUACGGGCCUAAAGGCUAUGGUUGGUCCAAAUUGGUCUUUUAGGCCCAGGGUGGCAAAAUUUUGAGCUGGAUCUGCCAAGCUGUGUCGUGUGUCUUCUGGGAUGAAGAUUUUCUAUCAUUAAAUCUGUGCUAGAGGGUCCAUGACUACCUGGAAUACAAUUGUGCCUCGCCAUCUCCCUGC
rnacentral:lncRNA from 1 species